rnacentral:rRNA from 1 species
GAUGAACGCUAGCGGGAGGCCUAACACAUGCAAGUCGAGCGGUAUUUCUUCUUCGGGAGAGAGAGAGCGGCGUACGGGUGCGGAACACGUGUGCAACCUGCCUUUAUCUAGAGGAUAGCCUUUCGAAAGGAAGAUUAAUACUCUAUAAUAUAUUAAUUGGCAUCAAUUGAUAUUGAAAACUCCGGUGGAUAGAGAUGGGCACGCGCAAGAUUAGCUAGUUGGUGAGGUAACGGCUCACCAAGGCAAUGAUCUUUAGGGGGCCUGAGAGGGUGAUCCCCCACACUGGUACUGAGACACGGACCAGACUCCUACGGGAGGCAGCAGUGAGGAAUAUUGGUCAAUGGGUGCAAGCUUGAACCAGCCAUCCCGCGUGAAGGAUUAAGGUCCUAUGGAUUGUAAACUUCUUUUGUAUAGGGGUAAACCUACCCUCGUGAGGGUAGCUGAAGGUACUAUACGAAUAAGCACCGGCUAACUCCGUGCCAGCCGCCGCAGUAACAC